AACUUUCAACAACGGAUCUCUUGGUUCCAGCAUCGAUGAAGAACGCAGCGAAAUGCGAUAAGUAAUGUGAAUUGCAGAAUUCCGUGAAUCAUCGAAUCUUUGAACGCACAUUGCGCCCCCUGGUAUUCCGGGGGGCAUGCCUGUCCGAGCGUCA
rfam:Tncinocarpus reesii 1704 scaffold_3 genomic scaffold, whole genome shotgun sequence.